rnacentral:rRNA from 1 species
GACGAACGCUGGCGGCAUGCCUAACACAUGCAAGUCGAGCGAGUAGAUCCCUUCGGGGUGAAGCUAGCGGCGGACGGGUGAGUAACACGUGGGCAACCUGCCUCAUAGAGGGGAAUAGCCUUCCGAGAGGAAGAUUAAUACCGCAUAAGAUUGUAGCUUCGCAUGAAGCAGCAAUUAAAGGAGCAAUCCGCUAUGAGAUGGGCCCGCGGCGCAUUAGCGAGUUGGUGAGGUAACGGCUCACCAAGGCGACGAUGCGUAGCCGACCUGAGAGGGUGAUCGGCCACAUUGGACUGAGACACGGCCCAGACUCCUACGGGAGGCAGCAGUGGGGAAUAUUGCACAAUGGGUGAAACCCUGAUGCAGCAAUGCCGCGUGAGUGAUGACGGCCUUCGGGUUGUAAAGCUCUGUCUUCGGGGACGAUAAUGACGGUACCCGAGGAGGAAGCCACGGCUAACUACGUGCCAGCCGCCGCAGUAA